GAAUAUGAUGUUGAUCCGGCUGCACCUUCUGUUACUCCAUUUGAUUUGGGUGCUGUGGCUGAUUAGGCAGGUGUCCCCUUCCUUCUUCACUGCUCCAUGGGUGUCUCUCCCAAAAUUGUAUGUUCAGUGACGAAAACAACCAAGUUCCAUCUUUGGUCAAGGGUAUAUAAUAAUGAGAACCUCCUUACUAGAACCUCCAAACAAGCUCUUCCUAUCUUCAUUUCUUAAACAGCCACUUUAGGACAACUAAGUAAACUGUCUCAGGCAUUACAAAAUCCAGGAAGAAGAGAGACAGACUGUGUUACUCAUUGU
rnacentral:snRNA from 1 species